AGGGGUGUGAUGAAAUGGUAUCAUGGAAGUCUCCAAAACUUCUCUUCCAGGUUCGAGCCCUGGCACCCCUG
rnacentral:tRNA from 1 species